rnacentral:rRNA from 1 species
AUUGAACGCUGGCGGCAGGCCUAACACAUGCAAGUCGAACGGUAGCACAGAGAGCUUGCUCUCGGGUGACGAGUGGCGGACGGGUGAGUAAUGUCUGGGAAACUGCCCGAUGGAGGGGGAUAACUACUGGAAACGGUAGCUAAUACCGCAUAACGUCGCAAGACCAAAGUGGGGGACCUUCGGGCCUCACACCAUCGGAUGUGCCCAGAUGGGAUUAGCUAGUAGGUGGGGUAAUGGCUCACCUAGGCGACGAUCCCUAGCUGGUCUGAGAGGAUGACCCGCCAAACUGGAACUGAGACACGGUCCAGACUCCUACGGGAGGCAGCAGUGGGGAAUAUUGCACAAUGGGCGCAAGCCUGAUGCAGCCAUGCCGCGUGUAUGAAGAAGGCCUUCGGGUUGUAAAGUACUUUCAGCGGGGAGGAAGGCGGUGAAGUUAACAGCUUCACCGAUUGACGUUACCCGCAGAAGAAGCACCGGCUAACUCCGUGCCAGCCGCCGCGGUAA